GCCGCCGUGGCGGAACUGGUAGACGCGCACGACUCAAAAUCGUGUGAGGCAACUCGUGUCGGUUCGACUCCGACCGGCGGCACCA
rnacentral:tRNA from 1 species